rnacentral:rRNA from 1 species
UACGGAGGAUGCGAGCGUUAUCCGGAUUUAUUGGGUUUAAAGGGUGCGUAGGCGGUCCGUUAAGUCAGCGGUAAAAUUGCGGGGCUCAACUCCGUCGAGCCGUUGAAACUGGCAGACUUGAGUUGGCGAGAAGUACGCGGAAUGCGCGGUGUAGCGGUGAAAUGCUUAGAUAUCGCGCAGAACCCCGAUUGCGAAGGCAGCGUACUGGCUCCACACUGACGCUGAGGCACGAAAGUGCGGGGAUCGAACAGG